rnacentral:lncRNA from 1 species
UGCAUUGUUAAGAAAGAGUUUGAUGAUGCCACAAGAGCAAGAAUUAAAAGUCGUUUGUAGAACCAUGUUUCCUCAUGGCAGGAGGCGAGCAAUACUUUACUAUUACAAUGUUCAUUUUCAAUACAAUCAGAAGUAUGACACUGAUUGUCAAUUGCGCGUUCAUGCAAUACUUUACCCAUGAAAUAGAAGAGUUGUGCAGGCGUGUGAUUCAAGUUCUUCGACGGAAUGGACCCAACUCAUUCAGUGAAGAAAUUUCAAGGUUCUCUUUCGGAACUGGUUUGAGCUUCUAUAAGUUCAGUUUGAAGAACAGUAUCACAGAAUAAGGAAUCAUGAAAAUAAUGAGGUAACAGCAGAGGGUGAGUGUUGCAAAAAAGAUUGACGACUGGAGCUAAAAACAGGCAAGAGAAUGUACAGAAAAGCCUUACUUUAGAUUUAGCCAGUAGAGCAUGUGCCCUUCGCAUAGGGAUAAUAACUUUUAGUAAAACAGCAGCACCGGUUUGAUUCAGGGUAUACAAUAUCUUACAAACAGUCAAGGAUUCACCAACUCACCAGUCAAGCAUUAGAUAGAUAACAAAAAUGUAGGAAUAACAUGUGUGCAGAAGUACAUUCCUACUCAUCAUGACGACAGGUGUCAAGAAGGAACUAGGUAGGAAUAACAUGUGUGCAGAAGUACAUUCCUACUCAUCAUGAGGACAGGUGUCAAGAAGGAACUAGGUAGGAAUAACAUGUGUGCAGAAGUACAUUCCUACUCAUCAUGAGGACAGGUGUCAAGAAGGAACUAGGGAUACCCAUAGCAUUUCCCCACUGUUUAAUCAAUCUUAGUGGAACUGGGUCGUCAUGUAAAGUAGUUUCACUUGGGGUGCAUCCAUCAGCCUCCUUAACCACAUAAUAGACAGUGGAGCUGAAACUUCCCCUCUUUUUUUAAGAAUGCCUAGUCGGGUUCUUCUCCUACCAGUACCGAAUAGAACUCGAAAUCGAAUUUCAUUGCGGGAAAUUAGGAUUUCAUGAGGGAGGAAAAGGGGGUGGAGAGUCGUACAAUGCAUUGGUGGGAUGAAGAUCAGAGAAGCGAAUGCCUCUCGUAAUUGAUUGAAAAGUGCUCUGCUGCUUCAAAUAUCAUGACAAUUCAAAUACAAACUGCAGACCUGUACUUACGGUCAGAGAUGAUGGCUGAACAUUCCUUAUUUCCAAUAACAAUACUUUCCGCUUGAAGGAAGUUUCUUAUUGGAUUACAUAAUGCUUCCAGAUCAUCUUCGUUCUGGUCAUAGCUAUUCUGAGUUGUCAUAGUCUUCAAUGUUAGGCAUCUAGGUGCCCUAAGCAGCUUGUCAUUGACUGAUUGAUUUAGAAAACACAUAGAUUCCUGUUUCGCCUGUAGAUAAAGUAUGGUUAAAUAGUUAUGGAAUUCCUCAGGAACUGUGUCCUGAAGUUUCCCACUUUCAAAGAAACUGGAAACCCAUAAUAGUUUCCUAUGGUUAUCUAUGAUCUCUUCUAGGUGCUUGGCAAACUCAUACUCCCUGUGUGAGGUAAUAUAGAAGAUCUUUUAGAUCAUUAAAGUAGUGAUCUAAAAAGUCUUAUAUUAUUUUACAGAUGGAGUCUUCUUUACCACUUAUAAGCAACAUACUCACUGAAUCUACUCACGCUCAUUCUGGAGUGAUGAAGAAUUGAGAUGAUAAUGGAAAUAAGAUCCAUGACAUGUUGCUCCUAAGAUGUGCGACUGAUUGCAAUGGAACAAUAUGCGGAUGCACAAGUUCUUACCAAAACAGAGGUAGCACGGUCUAGAAUAUGGGACACCAAACUGCAAGGGACUUAGGAAGAAUUAUUGUGUGUUGAAACUGAGAGUUGAAAGGGCAGCUAGCAACUGGUCAUGUAUAUCAGACACCUAUCACAAGCAAUUGAUACUGAUAGAGUCCAAAUACUACAGUCAAUUGUGAUUCGAAUAAUUCUAAGCUUAAAAGAACCUCGAAUCCAACAACAUUUUCCGCGCACCAUCUACUCGAUGGUAUGCCCAUAUGGAUUGUUUGAUCUCUUCUCCUCUGCAGACUGCAGGUGCAAGUCCCCCGCUCAUUGAGGGCGUGGUCAGAUUGCUUAAUGAGUUCUUUUAUUUUGGGAUUUUAAGAUGACUACUGCUUGAGCACCAUAGUUGAUUGCUAUUUAUUUCAGAUCAAAUUCUCAAUCAAUUUUUCCUUCCAAUUGAAAUGAAAUAUUCGGCAAAAUAGAAUGAUGUAUAUUGCGAGACUAUGUACUGUAGGAGUUAUUUGAGUAAUGAUGUGAAGGCAAUGUAUAAACUUGGUGAAUUCACUUCAGUUUGCUGAUACUGAUAUACCGCUAUGUGUCCAGCAAGUGUGAUUUGCAAGUCAUAUAUAGUAUGUAUUCACAAACUUUUCUGUGUGUUCCAUUGUACUAAGUCGAACAUCCAUGAGCACAGAUUUGGUUCUAAUCAG